rnacentral:rRNA from 1 species
UGAACGCUGGCGGUAUGCCUAACACAUGCAAGUCGUACGAGAGUUUUUAACUCUAGUGGCGGACGGGUGAGUAACACGUGAGAAUUUACCUUUAGGAGGGGGAUAACAAUUGGAAACGAUUGCUAAUACCCCAUAUGCUUUUGAGUGAAAUGGAUUUAUAUUUAUCCGCCUAGAGAGAAGCUCGCGGCUGAUUAGCUUGUUGGUAAGGUAAGAGCUUACCAAGGCGACGAUCAGUAUCUGGUUUGAGAGGACGAUCAGACACACUGGAACUGAGACACGGUCCAGACUCCUACGGGAGGCAGCAGUGGGGAAUUUUCCGCAAUGGGCGAAAGCCUGACGGAGCAAUACCGCGUGAGGGAAGACUGCCUAUGGGUUGUAAACCUCUUUUUUCAGGGAGGAAUAAAUGACGUGUACCUGAAGAAUAAGCAUCGGCUAACUCC